UGUAAAUCAGUUCACAUUUAUUCUAGGAUUUGCCCAUACCAAGUAAGAACAAGUUACACUUCUUGCUGUUACCAGUAGGGUACCCAGAAAAGUCCUCUGGAUAAGUUCAAUUUAACAUACAUUUGUUUCCAGGAGAUGUGAAGAAGCCACUUUUCCAGGGCAGCAGUUUUCAAACCAGCAUACUCAAAUGGCAGGUGUUCCCCAGCAGCUUUAGCCAGUUCGGUGCAAAGCACCACAUUUCUACUCCCUGUCUCAACUCGUGGUUUCAAGUACCAACACAAGGCAUAUGAAAUUCUGCUGAGCUUAUGACCUGCUUUUGCAAAAGCUACAGCCUCACACAGAAUAUGCUUUCAUGGUGGCUCACAAAUGUUGAAUUCGGGCUUCUUUUUCUUUCCCGCCCACCCCCAUGCGUAGCUAUACAUUCACAGGGUUGCUCCAAAAGCCAGCAGCUAAGCAGGAUGAACUGCCUGAACAGGCUCCCAGCAGGGGCACCAGCGUCAGCACCAAGUGUAGGGUGCAAACGUGGAGGCAGAGCUUGGAAGCCACGACUGGCUAAGCUGCUGUCUCAGCACACUGCCAGCAAGCCUGGGGAACUGAGCGGCACAGAGGACAGUGAACCAAAUUCAGAGGCAGUAGCACUGGAAGCGCAGUCACAAGUGGAAACAUGGUUGGAAAAUGUGGGCUAGGAGAUACUCACACAAACAUUCAUGCUGCAGUGAGAAAGGCCUACACUACAGUCUGAGGACAGGCCACAGCAAAGGGUGAGAGGGGCAAACAUGCAACCAGCCUGCACUGGUUACUUUAAGCCAUUUGCACUGUGCAUAUGUAGAGGAAUGAACAAAACAAACCAACCAACCAACCAAACAAACAAACAAAAACCACCCUGGCAUCAGUAUAUCUUUAGCAGCAGAAUGUGUCUGGCUGAGGAAGCUGUGGAACAGCAGGUAAUUGCCCAGGGAUUCCUCCUCCCAGAAGGAUUCCUCUCUCUAGUCAUGAGAAUAAAGCUCAAAGCACAGUGUAAACAGCCUUUUACAUUAUAAAUAUUUAUUAAAAAAAAAAAAAAAAAGGAUUACAGAUUCUGAUUGUGGUCCUUGGGGGUAAUCAAGUAGGAGAUAUUCUUUGUGGUAGAAGCAAAUUAGAAAUUCACAAUAUACAGAAAGGAGAAAUAAAAU